rnacentral:rRNA from 1 species
UACUUAGUGGCGGACGGGUGAGUAAUGCUUAGGAAUCUGCCUAGUAGUGGGGGAUAACUUGGGGAAACCCAAGCUAAUACCGCAUACGACCUACGGGUGAAAGGGGGCUUUUAGCUCUCGCUAUUAGAUGAGCCUAAGUCGGAUUAGCUGGUUGGUGGGGUAAAGGCCUACCAAGGCGACGAUCUGUAGCUGGUCUGAGAGGAUGAUCAGCCACACUGGGACUGAGACACGGCCCAG